UGGUUCCCGCAUCGAUGAAGAACGCAGCGAAACGCGAUAGUUAAUGUGAAUUGCAGAAUUCAGUGAAUCAUCGAGUCUUUGAACGCACAUUGCGCCUUUUGGUAUUCCGAGAGGCACGCCUGUCUGAGCGUCAGCAAAACCUUCGGGAGUAGUACUUUUGUGACUCAUCCCCGGCGUUGGCGGCGGGCGGUCCCCCCCUUUGGGGGCGGGAUCCCCCCGCUUAAACCUGGCGCGGGGCAAGUGCUGGUAGCCGCCUCAAUAGUAGAAAUAUUUUUGAAAGCCAUACCGGCAGCUUCUGCCCCCAAAGUUAGUUCUACCUUUCUUUGACCUCAGAUCAGACGAGGAUACCCGCUGA
rnacentral:misc_RNA from 1 species